AAGAAGUAUCUCCUUUUAAAAUGGAAUUCUUUAUUGGAUAGAGGGGUGAAAAAUAAGUCGUCCAAUUGCUAUUUCAAUAUAGUUUUGGGAAAGAUAAGUUUGUAUGGUCUGUUUAUUUUAGAAGUUAAAAUACAUUUUACACUGUUUCAUAUAUUGCCUCCCUUGUUUUGUUGCAAAAAAUUAUUAUAAUAGUUUUUAUGUUCUUAUAUUUUCUUUGUAGCUGAUUUAAAUCCAGUUGAGGAGACAGUACCAUAGAUCAGUCACUGUUUAAUGCAAUAGAAUUUUGUAGUAAGGGGAAUUAAGCGGUACAGUUUUAACUACACAUGGUGGGAUCUUUAAAAGCACUUGAUAUAGGCCUACCUCUGCUCAUGCUAAAAUUGAUGGUAAAUUGGGCAAAGGCUGAUUGCUUUUGAAAAUCCUACCCACAGUUGCUUAGACAGGGAACUGAAAUAUGAUAAAUAUUUUAUGUUAGGUAAUAUAAACAAUGCUUGUGGUCUAUCCAGCAUGGAAAGCAUAUUGUACACUGUAAUGGGAAAAGCUUUGUUUUCUAACUAAUCUCCCAAAAUUGGUCCACUCAAGAGUCUUUAUGUGCCACGAUGCAAGAAAAAACAGUAAGGACAGGGAGAGAGUAUGGUACUGUCCUUAUUGAGGAUAUUCAUUUCAUUUUUAUCAAAGCCAUCUUAUGAUGCAUUAAGUGCACAUGCUGAUAACGUGGAUUUCCAAACCCUGACAAAAGAGUGCACAGUUAAUCUAAUGACCUGUAAUGAUUACUGAUUUUAUAAUAUGGAAUUGUAUGCUAUGUGCAAUGUGAUUGAAGAAUCGAAUUAUUGUUUCUUUGCAAAUUUUAUCAUACCAAGCCCAAAUUUGUUGUUGAGUAUUCCUGAAGCCAUCAUUAACUUAGAAGUACAGACUCUUCCUUGAAGAUGGAUGUACUGUGCAAUUUUUCAAAAACCAUUUCCUUUUAAAGACAUGUUGCCAUAUUCUAAUUUUUUGGUUUUUACAUAUGAGUAGCCACUGUGUUAGUGUUUAAAAAGGCCCUGGGUCAAGUUUUCCUCUUCCAAUCCAUCUAAUUAUCAACAUUACCUUGUAAAAGGUCAUUUUCUAUUAGAAUUGUCACACUAUGGACUCCUUAUGACAUUAAUUCUCCAUUGGUUGGCUUCAGGUAUUUACUGAUGACCAUCCCAGAGGGAUGUCUAGUUUAUAAAUGCGGCAAAGAGUCCUGUGGCACCUUUAUAGACUAACAGACAUAUUAGAGCAUAAGCUUUCGUGGGUGAAUACCAACUUUGUUGGAUGCAUGAUGAAGUGGGUAUUCACCCACGAAAGCUUAUGCUCCAAUAUGUCUGUUAGUCUGUAAGGUGCCACAGGACUCUUUAUCGCUUUUACAGAUCCAGACUAACCCGGCUACCCCUCUUAUAGUUUAUAAAUAUUACUCAAUCUUGCAAAUAGACUUCAACAUAAUAUAAACCUUAAUUGAGGUUUGUUUCUGUUCUCUCAUCUUGCACUCCUUUCCUAGAAUAGUUGCUUUUUAUUAAGGGGACAAAAUAUCUCUGCUGGACACACCUUCCAGGUGUGCAUUUGAUUUACUGCUUAGGUUACUGGCAGAAGAAUAUUUAUUACUGAAUUUUAGUAAGACUCCGUUAAGCUAUAAACCCUCAUAAGAAAUGUACUGUACGUUAUCAGAUACAUAUCUUUCUAAAUUGCCUUCAGUUCUUGUCUAUAGUAUUUGGAAGAAGUCUGUAUGAGAAAAGAGCUGGAUAUUUGUUUUUUGACAUGUGUGAUGUGAAUUAAUUUCUAAUGUCUGCUUAAUUUCCAGGAGGAAAUGAGAACACACAAAACUUCACACUUUCAUAAUCCCUAAAGUCACUGUAGUGUAAAUGUUAAGAAACAUUACACAUUCUUUCACAUGAUUUUCUGGCACAAUACUUCGUUUAGAAUCAUUUAUCCAAGAAAUUUAAAUCCUACCCAGAGAUCUGCAAACUAACUGCAUUUUGCAGAAUUUAGAUUCCAAACCCUUAAGACUGCUUGUGUAAGCAUUGUAUGGUAAAUGAAACAUUUGAUGUGUUCAGUUUUUGGAACUGUCACCUCUUGAAUGUAGAUUUAUAUUUGAUGUAAAUUUUACCCCUUACCAUUCAGAACAGUUAAAAUCCCAAAGUAGUUGGGAGUACCAAAUUAGCAAAAUGACACUGUUUCUUUUUCGUUAAGGAACACAAUGCUUAAACAAGAAAACAAAACAAAAACAAACAAAAAACUCCAAGCUCUGAUCUCCAAAAUAAAAUUUAAUGUUCACUGUGAAAUUUCAGGGAAGAGGCAGCAAUGACAAAAGAUAAUCAAAUGGGUAUGUGGGAGGGACUUGGUUGAGGAAUGACAAUUACCAAGGAGAGAGAAGUCCCACAAGAUAUUCUGCUUCAAAGUUCUAGGUAAACUUCUUACCUAAAAACACUUUUUACUAAUUAAUACUAUCAAUUUUGAAAAGUUUAACAAUUGCUUUAAAAUGUCAUGCACCCUCUUUGAAAAGUAAUAAUCUUCCAUGAUCAGAAUUUUUUUUUUUUUAGUGUAUGGGAUUGUGUGUCACAUACCACAGCAUCUUAAUGUUUCUGAAACUGCUGACUACAAAUGCUUUUGUAAAAACAGGCAUUUGCUUCAUAUUUCUGUGCCCAUAAUGCACCAACGUUUCUUGUAAACCCUGCAACUAAGGCUUUAAUUUUCCGAGGACAUCACUUCUGACCUCACUAACUAUUGUUCAUCCUUCGUUCUUAUCCUGUAUUAGUUUUUGCUCACAAAAUAGGGUUAUUUUUGUUUAGCGCCAGAACAGCUCAUCUUUCUGUCAUUACUAACUGUUUAAAGAGAAAUGGGUGAACACUUGAUUUCAACACUAUAGCACAGAAGUUGUCAGGCAGUCGCUGUGACAAUGCUGACCAUUGUCAUACAAUAGUUUGGCUACUUAAACUUUUCUUAUUUGUAAUGUUUGCUAUCGCAUAAAUUAUGCUCUUCAAAAAGAAGUCCAGGUGGAAAGCUGCUUUGUCCAACUUUCAGUCAUAAAUAUAGAGUUCUGUACAUAAAGACUAGAAAAAUCAUUACUGGUAAGCAUGAUUUUAUGUUGGAUUCAUGUACUGAAAGUUUUUUUUAAUAAUUGUCAUUGUUUCACUGAUUGUUACAAAGCAUGACCAAGAAUUGUUCUUGUAUUAAUUCAAGAAGCCAGCUGUUAAAGGUUUAGCUAAAACUUCUAUGAAAAAAGAUGUUGAGUAUUAAGUAAGAGUAUUAUGGCACUGGUUACAGACAGUACAUACUUUACCCUUCGUUUGUUUUAAGUAUCUUUUCAUAAAACAAAUCUGUUCAAUUACUGAUCAAUGGUAACUGUACAAAGCAGUUAUAGCCAGGCAGCUUUUACAAUGUAGACUCUACCCUUCUCCUUAAUCUGCUGGAUAUUAGUGACACUUAUUUCUUGAGCAGUUUUAAACUAAAUAUUCAGUGAGGUCUAGUGGAAUUAUGUACUUAAUAACUAAUUCUUGUUCUCUGGUUGCCUUGGGCUGUUUGCAGCAGUGUGUGUUUUGUAGACCAGUGGUUUUCAACCCCUUUUCGUUUGUGGACCCCUAAAAAAAUUUAAAUGGAGGUGUGAACCUCUGCGAAAUCUUAGACAUAGUCUACAAAUCCCCAAGGGUCUGCAGACCAUAGGUUGAAAACGACUGUUGUAGACUGACCUUGCAAGUCACAGACGCUUCUGUCUGUUAGUACUUAUGGUAUUUUAUCUGCCUGUUUUUUGGUGAAUAAAGAAACGUCCAAAAAUCUUACUAUACAUUCUGGUUCUAACAGAAAAAUGUAACCUGUUCUACAAUUAGGUUUUUCUCUGAUUUUUUUAUUUAAAAUGUAUCUUCAGAGGUGGAACUAACAAUGCCUUUGUCUAUUUUUAAAAUUGGUUUGGGGACUCUGUCUUUUUGUGCUUUCUGUAGGCCUGCAGCUGACUUGAGCACCCAUUCAACAUGGGAAGAACUGAAAUGGUUAGACAAGACUGAGGGUUGUCAUUAUUUCAGUUUGGAAAAAUAGGCAGUCCCAGCAGACAGUGUUGGGGAUUGGGAUAUUGGACAGAAAAAUAUUCAAAAUAUAAAAUUGAUACUAUGCGCCCUCCCCCCCCCCAACCUAAAGUACUGUUUGGGUCUGGCCACCCUAUCAGUGGAUAGAGCAGAAAUAGGAAUUCAGCAUAAGGGAGUGAAAGUCCUCAUUGGUAGAGAAAAACUUCCACGUGAAGAGAGACUGAAAGAUUGGGGCUAUUUGAAAGGUUGAUGAAAAACAAAGGAUAGAAAUACAACACUGUGCUAUAGAGGAAGAGGUAAAUGAGAGCUCUUAUUUAUCCUCCUAGCAUAAAAGAUCGGGGACAUUUUGCAACUCAAUGCCAUAUCUUGUGGAGGCUUAGGAGGAUUCAAAAAAGAUUAGACAAUUCUGGAAUAAAAAUACCCUAUCUCGUGUUAUUGUAGAUAACAAAUUGGAAAGAAUAUAAAAUCACCUUCCUGCUAAGGACUACAAGGAAACUUCUCCUCUGUGUAGAGUUAUUGUCUAAUUGUCUGCACCUUUGUCUGAAGUAUCAAAACGCUGCUGUUGAAAACAGGAUAAUGAAAUAGAUGGCCCACUAUCCUGAUCUAGUAUGGCAGUUACUAUGUUCUUAAGACUGUAAAAAGGCAAAAAAGCUUAAGUUUUAGCAGCCACUAAAUAAGUUUCCAAUAGCAGAGCAUAAAAUGAAAAGCUUGUCCUGUUUAUAGAAUAGUCAGUAAGUUGUGACUAGCGAAAUCUUGAUCUUCAGCUCAGCUUGCUGCAUAGCAUCAACUUAGAAUCAUAGAAUAUCAGGGUUGGAAGGGACCUCAGGAUGUCAUCUAGUCCAACCCCCUGCUCAAAAGCAGGACCAAUCCCCAAUUUUUGCCCCAGAUCCCUAAAUGGCCCCCUCAAGGAUUGAACUCACAACCCUGGGUUUAGCAGGCCAAUGUUCAAACCACUGAACUAUUCCUCCCCCAAGCAAUUGGUUAAUGGUUAAUUUAUUGCCAAGAGCCCAAAACAGCUGGUUUUGAAAUGUGUUCAGGCCACUUGUAAACUAGCUUUUGCUAUAACUUCAGCUGGCUUAAAUCUUGAACAAGUUUUGAAGCCAGUUAGAAUUUGGGGGAAGUUUCACCAUUGCAGGACAGGGCCUGACAAAGCUAUUAUCAGAGACAAGAGGGUUGAUAGAAGGGAACUAACUCAAAUGUAUGUUAGAAGAUAAACAGAAUUACACCUCACGAGGUCUCAGAAAGGAGUUUGAUCUGGGAAACCUUUGUAAUGAGGGUAUCUCUAGGCCUGUAAAGGGGAACUGAACUACUGCUAGAAAAUCCAAGAUGUAUGUUAAAUCACUGCCUGGAAAGCACUGAAAUUUUAUCUAAUUUAGGAUCUCAUCUCAUGAAUAACUAGAUCCAGUCUAGAAACCAACUGCUUACAAGCUUUGAGGGAUUCCUAUUGGCAGGAAACUUUUCCACUUGCUUCAAAGAAUAAGUGAAUCUGAAGGAUUGUGACUGUUGAAGCUAAAACUGCCCAGUCUCAAAACACUUAUGCUGCAUGCCCCUGGCUCCUAUGGAAAGGUGAGUGGCUAUGCAGAAAUACAUACUUAAGUCAAAUAUACCAGAAUGCCAGUCACAAGGCAGAAGUAGUAAUGUAGCAGAAUUUAGCCUCCGUUAAUUUUAAAUAGCAGUUAAAUUUCUGUCUGUGUUUGGACUGAAAUUGUCUUCCCUUUUCUGGAUCAGAAGAGAAUUGUUAAAUGUCCUAAAACUCCACGGUGUAACGCUAAAGACUGAGCUCCAAUAGUGAGGGUUGGUCUAUAAAACAGUCUCCAAACAAUGAUUAGUGAAACUAGUGAUCUAACAACUGUGGCGCUAGUACUCCAAUCCAUUGCAAUGUAUGGACCUUGAGUUUCUUGAAUGUAGUAAGUGCUUAUUUUUAAAUUUGGCUGUGAAAUGCUUUGAUAAACUCCCAUUGCCUUCAGUAGGAACAGGAUUUCACCCCUUAUGAAUUUAGUUUUCAUACAGCAUCAGUAUAAGCUUCCCCAUGCAACCCCAACAAUGUGCUGGAAUUCUAACCUGAAGGAACCACCUCUACUAUAGACAAAAUAUUUGAAGUCAUGCCCAUUCAGGCUUUGGUUUCUCAGCUAAGGCUAUCACUAAUGUUGCCAGUUAGCAUUAAGAGUGGCACUCAGCCAGCCCAAGAUUUCGCUUAACCUCUAAAGGGUAAAGCUGGUGGGAAUCCAAUGGUCACCAGAGUGGUCACUAGAGCCAUUUUCAGAUGGUGCCAUUUUUCAGUUACCAGUUGCCUGGGGUGAAUUUAAAUAGGUUUACUCCUCCAGGUCACCAAUUAUCAGACCCAAGACUUCCUCUUCCCUCCAUGACAGUUUGUUUAAAAAAAAAAAAACAAACAAAACCCACAACCCAAACCAAAUAAGCAUCAGUCUUGCUUUGGUUUAGAAUAGUAAAGACUAAGAUCUGAUGUAGCAACCAUGUGCCACUGACAGGCACUGAAAUGUCACUUAGCAUUAAAAGAUUGAAGUGGAUAAUCCCCUUCCCCCCACCCCAGUUACCAUUUACUGGAUUUAAGCUUGCUGUAUUUUCUUGUUCUCUUCUUGCCUGCUUUGAUUCUCAGCUGCCCAGUUGCUUUUGUCUGCUUCCACUAAUCCAUACAGCUGCUCUUUAGUCUCUUAUUUCUCCAGUCUUUUUGUAUUGUCCUUCAUUUUCAUCUACAUGUUAUGGGAGAGACACAGCUAAGUCAAUUUACAGAGUCACCUACAUUUUUUUCAUCCUACCCUUUUACAUAAGAGAGAGAAAAUAAUCCAGGAGCCAUAUUAUCACUUUUAUGGAAUAUUAUAACAACGUAUCCACUUGUGCUGUUUGAAUUUUUUCUCUCGCCACAGAUGGGCCUGUUCUUGUUUAGCUUUAAAGUGAUCUCGAAUAGCUUCCUCAGCUCACUUUUGUUCCUCUUCAGCCUUAAGAAUAUCCUGUUCAGCAAUAUGUCCUUUUAAAUAAGAAAGUGUCCAAUUGUAUUUACUGACAAGCCUCUAAAUCUUGGUAAAGAGACGAUGGUCAUACUAUGUCAACUGAGAGCAGUUUCUAGGUAUUUGAGGGCAGACAGUGUCCCAUAGCCAUAAUGCAUAUCCUUGCCAGUAUUCAGGAUAAUUUGGUCUGGAGAGCUAUGGGGCCAGGAACUCAGCUCUGCAGCAUCCAUGUAGAACAUUGCACUCCUAAACCUAGCAUAACUCGACAUCUGGGACUUCCUCUAUCACUGGAGAACCCCCAAGUAGCAUAAGGGUGGGAUAGCAGCUCCUUUGCCACCACCUCCCAAACCUCCAAGAACAGGAGCUGUGAAGAGUGGAAAGGAGAUGUAUCCUGAGCUUUGGUAAUCCCAACAAGCCCCAGGCCAUUGGCAGCUGCAGUAAUUUAGCUCAGCCCUGAGCCUGCUUCUCGGGAUCAGACUAGCAACUCAAGAAUUAGGGGCAUGAAAGUACUGUCCACCUUUGUGCUUAUCUCUCCACCCAAGCUGAGAUGACCUCCAGUGAGUAACAAGGAUGUGGCUAAUGGUUCUUACUGGACAGCUAUAUUUAAACUGUACUCAGUUCCAUAAAAAGUUGUUUUAAACAUGAAUCACCCCAGCUACCUGUGUCAGUAGUGAAGCACCUGCACUGAGAAGCCUCUCGCUUUUCCUAGGAUGUCCUGUUGCUUCUUAGAACACUUGUCUAAAAAGUACUUUGCUCCCCACUCUGCCUAAGUACAUUCAGACCUGUCGCUGCAAAGGUGUUCAGCAGGUACCAUCUCUCAUGUUUUUUGUAAGUAUACAGAGGGGCAUAUUUCAGACUUUAGCACUUUUUUUGUGUUCACACUGCAUUUGUGGCCACAACCUGGCUAACAAUAUUGGAAUAUCUAGCCUACUAACAGAAAAACAUGAAAAAGUAGACUUUUCUUUCCAUAUGGCCUGACACAAAGCACCCUCUUUCUGAAAAGGCUAGAGUGCAUACAAUGUAUUUAGUAAAUUGCAAAUCAGCACUAAACAGCAGAUGCAGUUGACUGUAACAGAGAACAGCUGCUGUGCUGAGAGUGGGGUUGUCUAUUUAUAAUGGAAGAAACUGAUGAAGAAGUAAAGGAGUAUUUCAUACACUUACAUCCUAAACUUACAACUCUAGGUACACCUUUUCCUAGGGGGAGUUAAGCUGCCAUGCUCAUCAAGGUGAGAAUAUAUGUUUGAUUUUUUUCCCAACAUAUUAGAAAGGGUGAUGAUCCACAACGUUAUUGCAUGGCCUACCACUGUGCAUGUUACCACCUUACUGAAAAUACUGGGCUGACUUUAAAAAUAAAAAAUGAAGCAGGAAAGACAUGACAGAAUGGCAUAGAAGAAAUUACCUUAAACAGCAAACCUGAUUUAAAAUGGCAGGUGUAGGUGCCUGGCUUCUAUCAUGUUUAAGUCUAGAACUGUGAUUCAGCAAUAUCUAUCGAGUUAGGCUUUUGUGUCAACCCAGUGAGUGAUUUGGGGAAAGGAGAAGCUUGAACUAAUAGUAAUAAUAGUAAUAACCUAUAAGAUAAUAAAUAGCCUGUGCAUACAGAGAUUUUUUUUUUUAUUUAGAGGGUUAUAUUUAGUUAAGUAUGCUUAUUAGUAAGUUAUAGUGUCUAUAUUCAAAUUGUUGUUUUUUUAUUAUAUAUAUUCUUCAUAUAUUGAAUGUUGUUGUAGGUAGGUGGAAUGCAUUUGUUGCUAUUUAAAUAAAAUCCCUAUUUUUUUGAACAGCCAGUUGUAUUAUCUUGUCUACCAUUAAUAAAAUUUAUCAAGGUGUAACACGCACUCCAGCUCUCACCUGCUGAGUAAAUUAUACCACCACUGUAAAUUAUACCACCACUAAAUCUUGAUCAGUGGUUUUGGGACAGUGUGACCCUCGGAUGCAUUUAAAUUAUAACACACUAACUGUACUUUGUGAGGUCAGUUAUCUACACGUGUGCACGGGAGAGUGUGCAAGUAUCUGUGCGUAUGCAUCACAGAUUUCCCAUCACUCUCCUAGUUAAUCCCUCUCUAGUUCCCACCAUCUUCCACACUUACCCGAGGCUCCAUUUUGCAGUCCUUACCUUGUCCCCCUCCAUCCUUCCUCUGGCUUCUCUCUCCAGUCUCCAAUUUCUCCUCUUUCCCCUGACUAAUCUCUCCAGUCCCUACCGUUGUUCUCUCUCUCAUCCUCUGGUCUUGGAGGACUGCAAUAGUCCUAGAGAGUAAACAGGCAGUUCACUUAACUGGAUUGUCUAGCCUGAGCCCUUCCUGCUCUGGUUCCAACCCAUUAUGGAAAGAAUUGCUAAAUAAUUGUGUCUUGGCUAAUGCCCUGAGUAAGAAAAAUGCCCCAUUCUUUGUGUUUGAAGAACCAUCUUUGUGUGUGAGGUUGGGAGCGCUGAAAUUUUUUUGAGAAUGUGUGGGUAAAAAUUAUUAAAAAAUGAGCCAUGGGGACAGGGAGAUAAUAAGCCCCAAGUAAUGAUUUAAUGAAGUGGUAAAAGAAAUUUUGAAUCUGACACAUUUCAGUUUUUCAGAAAAAUUCUCUAUAUCCCUAUUUUAAGCAACACAAUUUGCAAACAAAUCAGUUGUUCCAAGCAAAAAUUAGCAGGAUGGAGAAGAAAUAGGUUUGGAAUGGAAGAUUAGAUAUAAACGGUGCCUACAUUAUAAAAGUUAAAGAACCAACUCAACCAAAGCAAAGAAAUUACAAGUUAAAAAGCUCUACUUUCAAGUUGUUUGGACCUUGCUUCUAUGUUAUAGUUACAAUAGGGAUAUAAUGUGAUUCAGAAUGUGUGUAUUAAAAAUACACAUUUACAUGUAGAGAUUGUUCUUUUUUAAAUGGCAGGAUUUUUGUUAGAUAGUGCCAAACAAUAUUCUUUGCUGUCUUUUGCGUCUGUGCUGUCUUUGCAGCAGCAGUUGAUCAAAGGGUGGGAUUUACAAUGCUGCACAUACUCUCCUGCUGAUAACACUUAAACUUGUGCAAAAACAAAUACAAGGAUAUGUUACCACAAUAUGGCUCCUGCUGCACUAGAAAUACAGGCAAAUUAAAUUUUUCCCAAUCGAUCAAAGCACUUAAGCAUAUGCUGACCUUUAAACAGUGAAUAGUUCCAUUUAAGUCAUCAGAACUAUUGUGUUCAUGUUCUGAGUUGCUAAGCAUGUAUUGAAGUGUUUUGCUGGAUCAGGGCCUUAUAUUGCAAGCUGUGUAUAUCUGUAGUCAUCUACAUUAAGCAUUACAUGUUUGCAAUCAAAUUUCCAAUACUGACACAUUAAACAUAGUAGAAUAGAAUUUAUAUAAAUGUAUGAUUCAGAUUUUUUAAAAUAAAAUUUUGUACUAGACAGCAUGUUUGUAGGGAAACUUGCAGUGAUUGGUCUGUAAGCAUCUAACCCUUUUUCAUAGACUUCAAGGCCUGAAAGAAUCCAUUAGGAGCAUCUAAUCUGACCUACUGCAUAAAAGCAUACAGACCAUUUAGUACCACAGUAAUUCCUGUAGCAAGCUUGUAACUGCUGCUUGAAUUAUGGCAUAUCUUCUAAAAAGAUAUCUAGUCUUAAAUUAAAGACUUCAAGUGAUGGAGAAUCCACUAUAUACCUUGAUAAAUUGUUCCAGUGUUAAAGAUUUACACCUUAUUUCCAGUUUGAAUUUAUUUAAUUUCAACUGCCAGUUACUGGACCUUGUUUAUGCCUCUUGUGUGCUAGAUCAAAGAGCCCUCUUCUUCACAUGUAGGUGUACUUACACACCAUGAUCAAGUCACCUCUUAGUUUUCUAUAUAAUAAGAUGAUGAUAUAUUUUUACACAGAACCUUGUAAAAUGGCAUAUAAGCUGAGUAUGUGCAACAUGUUCUUUUUGCUGUAACUGUUUUACUUUUUGCAUGUAUUUUUGUACGCAGAAUAACUUAGUAAUGAAAUAAUUUAGUGAUGAAGUGGGUUCUAGCCCACCAAAGCUUAUGCCCAAAUAAAUUUGUUAGUCUCUAAGGUGCCACAAGGACUCCUCGUUUUUUUUAGUAAAACUAUGUUAAUGAAAGCUGGGCCUACUGUAGUUAAAGUUGUGUAACAGCAGCAAGGUAGUUAUUAGUUUGUUGCAAGAGUUGAUUCAGAUUUUAAGAGAACAGAGAAGAAAUUAUAUACUGAUAAUGAACUAGUGCUCUAGAUGCUGAUUGAUUAAAUUCAGGAGUGGAAUCUGAAGAAAUAUUUCAUGUGGAAUGUGAAAUUUGUAUCAAAGUAUUUUUAGCAAUACUAAAUGCUUUUUUCAUAUCUUUGUUUUGUUAUUUAGUAUUUGAUUCUCAUGCAUUUCCUACACUUUUGAAAAGUAUUUAUUUAGCAUCUUUUGAGGAUAAUUUUUUUCCUUAGUGCUCUGAUUAUAACAAUGCAAGAAGCCAAAUGCAGCACUUUACAGUGUACUCGAGUAGCUGUAAAAGAUUGAACUUGAAACCUACAAAAUUGAAACUAAAAUAUUUAUUUUUUUUAAUAUGAGCCUUAUAUAAAGUAAGGUUCUACACUGGUUAUACAGAGUACAUCAUUCAGUUCUGCCUCUAUAUUUGAUUUAACAUAGUGACUUUAGUAAAAUACAACUUUUAAUGUUUAGGAAAAUACACUUGGAUCCCUAUCAACUUUCCAUAUAGUAAUUAUGGCUUUUCUAGUUCCUUUCAUGGGUUUCAUACAACAUGGAUCAUUUACCAAUUUAUUGGACUUCUUUUUGUAAAGACUCCAAAGAGUUAUUUUUACCAUGUAAAACCAAGUCUUCCCUUAGUUUGCUGGAUGUUACCAUUGGUAUUUAGCUCUUUUACUUCAGUAGUGUUACAAUUAUAAGAAGGUAGCUGAGUGCCAUUGAUAUCUCGUGCUUGGUAACUAGGUCUUAUUCCUCCUCUUUCUUUGUAAACUGGUCCAUGGCCGCCACCUGCCCCUUCCUUUGCUGCUUUGAGGAGAGGAUAAAUAUUUCGGGCUGUCUUGGAUUCUGAAUCAAUUACUUGAUUUGCAUAUUCUUGAAAUUCCUGCUCCUUGCAAAUUGCAAUAACUUCUUUCUGGGCCUCAUAGUUCAAUUCUGCUUGUUUCUCAUGCUGUUCUUUUGCCCGUUUUUCAGCCUGUUUUGGAGAAGGGAAUAACAAAGCUUAAAUAUUUUGACAUGGUUAACUUGUGGUAGAAUAGCUUAACAGGGCAUAAAGUCGUGGAAGUCCUUAUGUGACAUUUUUUAAAAUAAUUGUCUGUAAAUACCUUUCUGAUAAAAACAAUUUAUUUGUUAAUCACAAUCUAACUCUAGUUAGAAAUGCAUAACUGACAUUCUCCGUUUGUCCAGAGAAUAGGUACAAAGUGAGCAGUAACCAUGUGCUAGCAAUGUCCCUGAAUACUGAUUCAGAGAGACCAUUAUCUGCAGCUGAAAGGCUACCUCAAUCAACGUCAUUCAUUCAAGUCUUGACUGCUCAGUUAAUUCUUAUCCAUAUGGUUGCCAAUUUGCGCAGACGAUGCUAAACUAUCCCUAGAUUUUGCAUAUCCAUGUACAAAAUCUGAUUUUUGGGAACCUAGGCAGACUGCAGUACUCCCAUAACAUAUUUGUAUAGUUAGACUUUGGCAUCUGAGCAGGGGAUGGAGUGCUUGUCACUGGCAGAUGGUUUCGGCAGCUGAGAGGGGAUUGGACAAUGGUAGUAGUCGUGGGCCUAUGAAGGGUUGAGCCUCAAUGUUGAUGUUAUUAAGGUGAUGGGGCAGCACAGCAGGCUAGGGAAGUGUCCCAAAAGCAUGGGGCCUUGUGAUGAUACAUAUUUGGCAUACUGCUAGUGUUGGCACUGGUAGGGGAUUUUGUGAUACAUGUCCACUGACAACUGGACUGAGACACCAAAUGCUAUUUUAUAUAAUCCAACCUAACAGCCAUCAUCAGAAGGGGACAUCUUUCAGUCGAAACUGGGCUUGCGUCACACAAGGUGUCUGGAGAUGAAAGGAUCUAUAUCCUACUGCCAAUCCUGUGAACUAACGAUUUCACCACUCAUGUAUAUAAACUCUGCUUCACAUUCCCACCCUUGCGCUGUGAAGACACUGGUCCCUGAGAAACAACUCUUGAAGCAUUAUGUUUAAAGGGAUAAAAAUAAUUUUCUCAUGUUUCUCUUGUUUUGAACAGCACUGUGAUAAUAUAAAGAUUAGGUCUCAUGCAAGACUCCUAUACCAUAGAUGUAUGCUGAAAUAGUUUUGUAAAAUGUCUGACAGUCUGAUAAUCCCCCUAGUUACCAUUUGCUGGAUAUGAGUCUCUUGCAUUUUUAUGUUUUCAUUGCGAUUUCUUCGUUUCUUGUCUUUCUCCAUUUCCAGAUAGAUGCGGUCUGCUUCCAUUAGUUCAUGAAGCUUUUCUUUACCCUCUAAUCUUGCCUCUCUUUCUCUCUCUCCUUUCAUUUUUAUCUAUAUUUUAUAAAAAAAAUUUAACUCAAUUUGCUAAACCAACGAAUUUGAAAAACAUAUUUUUCAGGCAUAUUUUAUCAUUCUACAGGCAAGUGACACUAAAAAAACCAAAGGCCCAUAAUAUUAAGAAGCAGUGAAACAUCAGCAAAACAUUUCCAAAAUCUAGUAAUUCCACAAACCUACGAGAGUUUUCCCUCGACUCCAAAGCUUUACAUAAUUUUUCUCAGUAUUUCCUAAUUUUAUCAGUGAUUGAUUAACGAUGUAAUGUCAGUCACCUGUCAAUAGCCAACCAGAGUUGCUUGGAAAAUCCCCCAAUGUUUCCUUAAAAUGCUAAUUUCAUUAUAACAGCAAUUUUCAAACUGGCCAGUACAGCACUUACUGGUGGUCCUCAGAGACCUAUCUUGUGACAUGGUUCUGGUUACCCCAUUGUUUUCAGAUACUAAUUUCCAUUGAAAGUUGGUUAACAAAAAAUCAUUACUUUUACUUUUCCACAUAAGCAACUGUUGUAGAUGUUAUGAAAUCCAAAGCAGGAGGUACUUUGGCUGCACAGUUGUGAACAAGAGAGGUUAUUCCCCUGUUCAGAAAUGCAGUUAACAGCAUGAAAAAUGUUGCAAACCCUGCACUAUGUAUUUACACGUACACAUAAAUGCUUUGUUGAGAGGUCUUUACUAUGCUGGUAAAGAAGUCAAGGACCCAAGGAUUUUUAAUACUUUACUUGCUCUCUAAACCUGGUGAUUAACACAUCACCCAGUAAGAGGCCAUAGCUUUGUUGAGCCCAUGAGUUUUAGUGGGUUGUAGUCAAAUUGCCUGGAAUAAGCUGUGCUUCAGGUCCUCACCCUUGAGGGUUGUGAGAGGCUAGUCCCCUAGGAACAGCUCUUGAAUCUUCAAACUGCUUGAGUGGUAUGCUAGUG